rnacentral:tRNA from 1 species
UCUAAUAUGGCAGAAAAUUUAUGCAAUGAACUUAAAAUUCAUAUAUAAAGAAUAAUCUUUUUUUAGAA